ensembl:lncRNA
CAGAAACCUGCUGCUUGAAUAUAUGUGAUUGUUUCACAGCGGCGUGCAGCAGAGCGUCUUCCCUUUUUCAAUAUUAAAUUUCAGCAUUUAAUUACCUUCAAUAAAAGACUUUGGCUAAUUUGAGGCAUUCGUGUUUGCCUUCCAGCCUCAAAUCCUAAUUAAAGCCUAAAAAGGUUCGAAGCCUCAUAAGAUAAGAUAAGACAAGACAAGACAAGACGAAAUAAGACAAGAUAAGAUAAAAUAUGAUAAGAUAAAAUAAGAUAAGAUAAAAUAAGAUAAGAUAAGACAAGAUAAAAUAAGAUAAAAUAAGAUAAGAUAAAAUAAGAUAAGGUAAGAUAAAAUAAGAUAAGAUAAGAUAAGAUAAAAUAAGAUAAGGUAAGAUAAAAUAAGAUAAGAUAAAAUAAGAUAAAAUAAGAUAAAAUAAGAUAAGAUAAAAUAAGAUAAGACAAGAUAAAAUAAGAUAAAAUAAAAUAAGAUAAGAUAAAAUAAGAUAAGGUAAAAUAAGAUAAGAUAAGACAAGAUAAAAUAAGAUAAAAUAAGAUAAGAUAAAAUAAGAUAAAAUAAGAUAAGAUAAAAUAAGAUAAGAUAAGACAAGAUAAAAUAAGAUAAGAUAAAAUAAGAUAAGAUAAGAUAAGAUAAGAUAAGAUAAAAUAAGAUAAGAUAAAAUAAGAUAAGAUAAAAUAAGAUAAGAUAAAAUAAGAUAAGAUAAGACAAGAUAAAAUAAGAUAAGAUAAAAUAAGAUAAGAUAAGAUAAGAUAAAAUAAGAUAAGAUAAAA